rnacentral:rRNA from 1 species
CGCUCCUGCGGGAGGCAGCAGUGGGGAAUUUUGGACAAUGGGCGAAAGCCUGAUCCAGCCAUGCCGCGUGCAGGAUGAAGGCCUUCGGGUUGUAAACUGCUUUUGUACGGAACGAAACGGCCUUUUCUAAUAAAGAGGGCUAAUGACGGUACCGUAAGAAUAAGCACCGGCUAACUACGUGCCAGCAGCCGCGGUAAUACGUAGGGUGCAAGCGUUAAUCGGAAUUACUGGGCGUAAAGCGUGCGCAGGCGGUUAUGUAAGACAGUUGUGAAAUCCCCGGGCUCAACCUGGGAACUGCAUCUGUGACUGCAUAGCUAGAGUACGGUAGAGGGGGAUGGAAUUCCGCGUGUAGCAGUGAAAUGCGUAGAUAUGCGGAGGAACACCGAUGGCGAAGGCAAUCCCCUGGACCUGUACUGACGCUCAUGCACGAAAGCGUGGGGAGCAAACAGGAUUAGAUACCCCAGUAGUCCCAUG